rnacentral:rRNA from 1 species
UACGUAGGGCGCAAGCGUUGUCCGGAUUUAUUGGGCGUAAAGAGCUCGUAGGCGGUUUGGCAAGUCGGGUGUGAAAACUCCGGGCUCAACUCGGAGACGCCACUCGAUACUGCCAUGACCUGAGUCCGGUAGGGGAGUGCGGAAUUCCUGGUGUAGCGGUGAAAUGCGCAGAUAUCAGGAGGAACACCGGUGGCGAAGGCGGCACUCUGGGCCGGUACUGACGCUGAGGAGCGAAAGCGUGGGGAGCGAACAGG